GGGAGGCAGCAGUAAGGAAUAUUGGUCAAUGGACGAAAGUCUGAACCAGCCAUGCCGCGUGAAGGAUGAAGGCCCUCUGGGUUGUAAACUUCUUUUAUAGGGGACGAAAAAAGGGAAUUCCUUCCCACUUGACGGUACCCUAGGAAUAAGCACCGGCUAACUCCGUGCCAGCAGCCGCGGUAAUACGGAGGGUGCGAGCGUUAUCCGGAUUCACUGGGUUUAAAGGGUGCGUAGGUGGGCAGUUAAGUCAGUGGUGAAAUCUCCGGGCUUAACCCGGAAACUGCCAUUGAUACUAUCUGUCUUGAAUAUCCUGGAGGUGAGCGGAAUAUGUCAUGUAGCGGUGAAAUGCUUAGAUAUGACAUAGAACACCGAUUGCGAAGGCAGCUCGCUACGGGAUUAUUGACACUGAGGCACGAAAGCGUGGGGAUCAAACAGGAUUAGAUACCCUGGUAGUCCACGCCCUAAACGAUGGAUACUCGACAUCAGCGAUACACUGUUGGUGUCUGAGCGAAAGCAUUAAGUAUCCCACCUGGGAAGUACGACCGCAAGGUUGAAACUCAAAGGAAUUGACGG
rnacentral:rRNA from 1 species